rnacentral:rRNA from 1 species
GACGAACGCUGGCGGCGUGCCUAAUACAUGCAAGUCGAACGCAGUGGGGACGGGUGAGUAACACGUGGGUAACCUCCCAUCAGAGGGGAUAACACUUGGAAACAGGUGCUAAACCGAUAAUGAAGGAUGGACCAGCGGUGCAUUAGUUCGUUGGGGAGGUAACGGCUCAACAAGGCCACGAUGCAUAGCCGCCCGGGGAGGGUGAUGGGCCACACUGGGACUGAGCAACCGCCCAGAAUCCUGCGGGAGGCAGCAGUAGGGAAUCUUCGGCAAUGGACGAAAGUCUGACCGAGCAACGCCGCGUGAGUGAAGAAGGUUUUCGGAGCUUAAAACUCUGUUGUUAGAGAAGCGGUAUCUAACCAGAAAGCCACGGCUAACUACGUGCCAGCCGCCGCGGUAAUUC